rnacentral:rRNA from 1 species
GAUGAACGCUGGCGGCGUGCUUAACACAUGCAAGUCGAACGAGCGAGAGAGAGCUUGCUCCCUUGAUCGAGUGGCGAACGGGUGAGUAACGCGUGAGGAACCUGCCUCAAAGAGGGGGACAACAGUUGGAAACGACUGCUAAUACCGCAUAAGCCCACGGCUCGGCAUCGAGCAGAGGGAAAAGGAGCAAUCCGCUUUGAGAUGGCCUCGCGUCCGAUUAGCUAGUUGGUGAGGUAACGGCCCACCAAGGCGACGAUCGGUAGCCGGACUGAGAGGUUGAACGGCCACAUUGGGACUGAGACACGGCCCAGACUCCUACGGGAGGCAGCAGUGGGGAAUAUUGCACAAUGGGGGAAACCCUGAUGCAGCGACGCCGCGUGGAGGAAGAAGGUCUUCGGAUUGUAAACUCCUGUUGUUGAGGAAGAUAAUGACGGUACUCAACAAGGAAGUGACGGCUAACUACGUG